rnacentral:rRNA from 1 species
CCUACGGGCGGCAGCAGUGGGGAAUAUUGGACAAUGGGGGAAACCCUGAUCCAGCGACACCGCGUGAGUGAAGAAGUAUUUCGGUACGUAAAGCUCUAUCAGCAGGCAAGAAAAUAACGGUACCUGACUACGACGCCCCGGCUACCUCCGUGCCAGCAGCCGCGGUAAUACGUAGCGGGCAAUCGUUAUCCGGAUUUCCUGGGUGUAAAGGGAGCGUAGACGGCAGCGCAAGGCUGGAGUGAAAUGCCGGGGCCAAACCCCGGAACUGCGCUGGAACCUGGGAAGCUGGAGUGCAGGAGAGGUAAGCGGAAUUCCUGGUGUAGCGGUGAAAUGCGGAGAUAUCAGGAGGAACACCGGCGGCGAAGGCGGCUUACUGGACUGUAACUGACGUUGAGUCUCGAAGGCGUGGGGAGCAAACAGGAUUAGAUACCCCAGUAGUC